rnacentral:rRNA from 1 species
AUCGAACGCUGGCGGCAGGCUUAACACAUGCAAGUCGAACGAGUGGCGGACGGGUGAGUAAUGCUUGGGAAACUGGCUGAUGGAGGGGGAUAACUACGGGAAACUGUAGCUAAUACCGCAUACCAUAGGCUGAGCCCAAGUGGGCUUAGGUAGUUGGUGAGGUAAAGGCUCACCAAGGCGACGAUCACUAGCUGGUCUGAGAGGAGGACCAGCCACACUGGGACGGAGACACGGCCCAGACUCCUACGGGAGGCAGCAGUGGGGAAUAGUGCGCAAUGGGGGCAAGCUGAUGCAGUCAUGCCGCGUGAAUGAAGAAGGCCUUCGGGUUGUAAAGGUCUUUCGGUGGCGAGGCGUUAAUUACAGAAGAAGCACCGGCUAACUCCGUGCCAGCAGCCGCGGUAAUAC